ensembl:lncRNA
GUUUGUUUUUGUUGCUCUUAGAGGGUUGGUUUGUUCUAGCUGUCUCUGAGCUAUGCCUUCUCAAGUGUAUAGGAAGAGCCGGUGAGAUGCUAGUUGUCCAUGACUGAGUAAUCAGCUUUGACUGGUCUGGAAGGGAAACCUUUCUCAGGGCUUUGGUGUGGAGGAGGCCUUUGGGGUCCUGGUGGACCAGAAGGUGGACGGGAGCCGGCAGUGCAUGCUUGCAGCCUGGAAGGCCAACUCUAUCCCGGGCUGCAUUAAAAAUGAUGGGACGUUCACCUUUAUUUUUGCCCCUUUUUGUACACUUUUGCUGAUUCCUGUUUCUUAGCUCCAGAAUUCCACUGUCUCCUUCCCAAGGUUCAACAGGUAUUUGUCGACGGGGUGUAACGCCUCUCAUGCACGAAGAAGACAUUUGGGAAUUGGGAUGGAUUUUAUUGACAUGAUUGGUGACAGGGUGACAAUGGUGACAGACCCCUCAUGCUUGUGCAGACCCAAUGGUGUCCUGAUGAAGGGCCGCAGUGUGUUCUGGGGUCAGAAAAGAGUGGGCUUAGGUGGACGGAUGCCAAGGGCAGUUGCCAGCUCUCCAGGCAGGACCCAGCGAAGGAUGUCCUUCUGCAGCACAAACAGGGUGAAGAAGACAAGCUGCAGCAGGCCCAAGAACAGCAGAAACGCCCUGCGGAACAGAAGAAGGUCCAGUCAGAUUCCAGGGGCACGUUUGUCACAGCACUUUCCAUCCAGCCCUGGCAAAUGGCCCGUGGACAUGUGCCAUACAGGGAGCAAGGGAAUCUGUCGUAGGUCUGCGCAGGGCUGCCAAGAUCGCCACCCCACCUGCUCUCCCACCCAGGACCCUAAGCAAUAGUGAAGCAUUUUAUCUCCAAACAGUCAAAAGCUGCCUGAUGGUCUCUGGACCCCAGGGCGACUCACCGCAGCCAGGAAGUUACAAGUGGGUGCUUCUCUGCUGCCGCCUGCUCAUCCUAGAGGACAAAGCAAAGCAGGGCCACGCGUUGGGGUGAGCGCAGGUUUGGGCACUCGGAAGCCCUCCUUCGUCCCCACAACCAGAGGGAGGCCCAUAUCCCCUGCGGUGGCCCGGAGGUGAGCCUUCCCUCCCCAAGGCCCCGGUGGGGCUUUCUCUCUUACCAAUCGCACAGCCACUGUCUCCUGCAGCAGGGAACUCAUGUGCGCUUCCCUGCGUGUCAUCUUCCUCCUGCUACAGACAGGGGAGUUUGGUGUGUGAGAAGAGGCCUCGGCCGGCACCAGGACCUCACCCCCUCCCCACGCCCCCCAUCCCAAGGUGG